AAGGACCUCAGGAGUCUCCUCUACACCUACUACCUCCCCAUAAAGCCUAAUGACUUUGAGGAUUUGUGAGCCAGGCCAGGUGUGGGAAAGGGACUUUCAAAGAGUCCUUGACCAUUUCUCUGCCUGCUUCUCGGACUCCCAGUUCAGAUUCCUGCUUGGCAAACUGAAGCUGAACUCAGACAACCAGACAGUGUACUGGAAAUACUUCCUUAACCAGUUUGAGACAGCAAACAGUGUUAGACAUGGGGGGAUAAGAAAUGUUUCCAGAGUUCCCAGCAGCCCCAGCACCUGUCAGUCAGUGAUGUUUUAGAACAGACCCAGGAAGUUGUCUCUGACCAUUUGUACACAAUCACAGAGGAGAUGCUGCACUUAGACCACAC